CCUACGGGAGGCAGCAGUGAGGAAUAUUGGUCAAUGGGGGGAACCCUGAUGCAGCGACGCCGCGUGGGUGAAGAAGCGCCUCGGCGCGUAAAGCCCUGUCAGCAGGGAAGAAAAUGACGGUACCUGAAGAAGAAGCCCCGGCUAACUACGUGCCAGCAGCCGCGGUAAUACGUAGGGGGCAAGCGUUAUCCGGAUUUACUGGGUGUAAGGGGGGCGCAGACGGCGAUGCAAGCCAGGAGUGAAAGCCCGGGGCCCAACCCCGGGACUGCUCUUGGAACUGCGUGGCUGGAGUGCAGGAGGGGCAGGCGGAAUUCCUGGUGUAGCGGUGAAAUGCGUAGAUAUCAGGAGGAACACCGGUGGCGAAGGCGGCCUGCUGGACUGCAACUGACGUUGAGGCCCGAAAGCGUGGGGAGCAAACAGGAUUAGAUACCCUUGUAGU
rnacentral:rRNA from 1 species